rnacentral:lncRNA from 1 species
GUGUGCGUGUGUGUAUAUACGAUCGAUCAGGGACAGAGGGUGAGGUGAAACCCUAGUUUCACCAAAAUCCAUCAAAUUGAAGGGGGAUUGAAGGGCUAAACUAAUGCAUGAACCAAGAUUUUCAAUCACUUUAGCGUUUCUACCAUCAUGUAAGUCGAAUUUUGGAACGUGUCAAGGAGAGGUCAAGCAUAGGAGGGUAACGGGUCAAGAUAAGGCAAGGUGACAAAUACACUUAUUGGAGUACUCGAGGUAUGGGAUCGUUGGCUUCAUGAAGAAAUGGAGCUGGAUUUGGAUAAGAGUAUUUAAGAAAGCGCUUGGACAAUUCCACGACUACUUUAUAGAAUGCUCUAUGAAAUUCUAUUAUAUAGUUUAAUGUUGUAUGGUAUGUUAAUGACUAAUGGUUUGGUUGUACGUGGUGUCCACAGGUAUCGCUUGGGUUUUCUCUACAUUUAUUGAAGUGAAGCGGACUUAGUUCGAGUUGAGAGCAAGGAUUGUACGGGGUAGAAUGGUCACAUAGUGUAACUCAUAUAGGUUUUGAAGUAUUAAUGUUAUAAAACGUUAUAAAUCCGUUUUAAUGAAUAUAUGGCAUUUCGCAUUUGAACCUUCAUGUGUUUGAUAUGUCUAUUAAAGAACGAAAUUUUUGG